UUUGCAUGUGUUUAUGCAUGGACAACAAUGCAAAAUCUAUAUUGUGUUGUUUCUUGCCGCCUUUCAAAGUCAGUUGAGACGACUAAAGACGACAUUUUGUUUGAGGAAUUAAAUACGGGCAUCGAGGAGCAUUCUGCCUCCGAAAUUUUAGGAAAAAUUGCUUUAUUAAAUCACAAUGAAGGUGAUAUUGUUCAACAUCCAGCGGCGUCAAGUCAAAAAACAAACUGAAAGAUUGUAUCGACUUAAAUGAUGCAGAAGACUCCUGAACCUUUGUAUUCAAAAGAACUGUCGUCAUAAAUCGUCUUUAUUGACUUGAAAAGGCAACAAGAAAAGAUCACCGACUUUCGCUUAAGCACGGUUCAAACGUCGUGCUUUUCAUGUGCCAAACCUAAUUCAUAUUAGGUACGGCAAAGAACGACGUGGCUCGACGUCGAUUCAAAAGUCAAACUUAAUUUGUCGAAUUUUGCGCAUGAUCACAACGAGCAAAUUAACCUAUUAAUCUAGGGUCGCACGACACUUUUCUUACGUACGAUUUAAUAUGCAAAUAAGGGAAUUAAGACACUUGCUGGGCUACUUACUGUUUAUUCACCAUUAAACUUAUCCACGACAUUUACAUCAUUAAACUUACUAUAAAUUUAGGGUCGCACGACGCUUUUCGUACGCGUUAUUUACCAGAUAGUUUGUGAAAAUUCAUUAAAUGUUUCAAUAUUUUAUAGCAGAUG